GCUGGUUCCGGCGCAGGCCGAGCGGUCCGAGCUGCCGGCGGCUCCGGCCGCGCCGGGUCAGGGGACCCGAGCCCCGGUGACCCCCGGAGAGGGGCGGCGUCCCCUCUGCUGGGCCUGGCGGGGCCGCGUCUGGGUACGGUAUCCAGUUCUGGGCUUCUCAGUACAAGAGAGACAAGGAGCUGCUGGGGAGAGUCCAGCGGAUGCCACGAGGAUGAUGAAGGGCCUGGAGCAUCUCUGUUCAUCAGGAGAGACUGGGGGAGCUGGGCCUGUUCAGUCUGGAGGAGACUGUGAGGGGAUCUCAUGAAUGCGCAGAAAUGCCUCAAAGGCGGGUGCCAGGAGGAUGGUGCCAGACACUUCUCAGUGGUGCUCAGUGACAGCACGAAGAGUAAAGGCCAUGAAGUAAAAGAUAAUAAGCUCCACCUCAGCUUGAGAAAAAACUUACGUUGAGGGUGGCAGAGCACUGGAACAGGCUGCCCAGGGAAGUCAUGGAGUCUCCGUCUCUGGAGACAUUGAAACCCCACCUGGACAUGUUCCCGUGUCACCUGCUGCAGGUGACCCUGCCGUGGCAGGGGCUGGAUGCGACACUCUCCAGAGAUCCCUUCCAACCCUGACAAUUCCGUGAUCCGCGGGCUCCCGGUCCUCGCCCAGAGGGCGAGGCAGGAACGUUUCUGCGCGGGCUCUUCUUUCCGGGGGAAGCGGCGAUGCGGACGCGGUGCCCGGGGCCAUGGAGCGGCGGGAGCAGCGGGAGCGGCGGGAGCAGCGGGCGGUGGCCGUGGAGCGGCUGGACGGGGUGACGCGGGAGCGCUUCCUGCGGGACAUCUACCCGCGGGUACGGGGCGCUCUGCCCGGGACCCGCCGGAGCGGCUGGGGCUCCACGGCGACACGGGGCAGAGAAAGCCAGUAGUGCUGACAGGAUUGGAACUGGGCACUUGCACCACCAAAUGGACAGUAGAUUACUUGAGCCAAGCUGAAGGAUCUAAAGAAGUAAAGAUUCAUGUUUCUGCAGUGCCACAGAUGGAUUUCCUCAGUAAGAACUUUGUGUAUAGAACUCUGCCUUUUGAUGCAUUUGUACGAAGAGCAGCUGAAGUCAAGCACAAGGAGUACUUUCUUACUGAGGAUGAAAAGUACUAUUUGCGAUCAGUGGGUGAAGAUGUUAGGAAGGAUAUUGCAGAUAUCAGGAAGCAGUUUCCUGUUUUAGCAGAAGAUGUUCAUAUUCCAGAAUAUUUUGAGAAGGAACAGUUUUUCUCUAGUGUCUUCCGCAUCAGCUCAGCUGGAUUACAGUUAUGGACACAUUAUGAUGUAGGUAAUGGACAACUUCUUAAUCCAAGUCACAGGGAGAAAACGAGUUGUUUUGUACAGUCCUCGAGAUGCACCAUAUUUAUAUUUAUCAGGUAGUAAAUCAGAGGUGCUGGAUGUGGAUAACCCAGACAUGGAGAAAUAUCCCCUUUUUGUGAAAGCCAAGCGCUAUCAAUGUGUUUUGGAAGCAGGAGAUGUGUUAUUUAUUCCAGCUUUGUGGUUCCAUAAUGUAAUUUCUGAGGAAUUUGGAGUGGCACUGAAUGUCUUUUGGAAGCACCUGCCUGCUGAGUCCUAUGAUAAGACUGACACUUAUGGAAAUAAAGAUCCCAUGGCAGCCUCUAGAGCUAUACAGAUCUUGGACAGAGCCUUGAAAACACUUGAAGAACUACCUGAGGAAUACAGGGAUUUUUAUGCUCGGAGAAUGGUGUUACGUAUCCAAGAAAAGGCCUACAGGAAUGAUUAUGGAUAAAUAACACACUGCAAUACAGCAAGGUCCCUUGCAAAUAGAAGAUUGUAUGUUAGUAUGGAAACUGUCCACCUGUACUUACACACACUUUCUGUGAGACCAAUAAAAACUGUCAAUAAGCAUUCAUCUCUAA